CAUCAUCAUCGUCGCUGCUGUCCUCAGCUGAGUGUUGUGCAAUGAAGCAGACUGGCAGGGAUUGUGAUGUAACCUUAUCUGCUGGAGUCAGCCAUGUUGGCCUGCCCACACUCCCAGUGUCACCUCUGGGCCCUCUGGGCCCUCUUACCUAUCCCUUCCCUAGAUACCUCUGAGAGUGCUAUCUGGGGAGGUGACGCUGGCACCUCAGAGCCCCUGGCUGUGGCCCAGGCUGACAUCCCAAAUGCAGAGCCCCCUCACCGUCAGUGGGAUUGGCAAACUCCUUGGGCACAGCUGCCCCAUCGUCCAGCUCGACAGCCUCUAGGCCCGUGCGGACCCCUUCAAUCUGGACCUCAUGCUCUCCCGAAGCCGUGUCAUCCUCUGACCUGGCACUCUCGCCCGUGCGACGGAAUUUCACCACCCUAGAGAACAGAGCAAAUCUGGUCAUGAUGGCUAGAACUUCCCUUCAAUGCCCUUGCUGAACAGCUCUUGUGCCCAAGACAGGUGAAAGGCUUUUUCUCAUGGUCCGGAGAAUCGAAUGGAUGUGCAGGUGGUGCUGCCGUUGCUGAUGUGCGGACUGAUUUCGUGCCACGGAGCCAGACAAACGAUUCUGCUGUGCGCCUGCCCCGUACCGAUCAUGAAGCAGUUGUGCCGAGGAUCGGAGCCCCUACUCUGUCGGCGGAGGGCUGGUUUGAGUGGUCGAUAGCCCACCGCUGCGUAAGAGUCCUCAAAUCACCAACACCUGCCACAACUCAGAUGGACGUUGAAACGUGAAGCUGGGUGAAGGAAGCCAGACGCAAAAGGCCGCAUGUUGCAUGAUUCUAUUUACGUGAAGUAUCCAGAAUGGACCAGCGCAUGGAGACAGAAGGGAUGAAGGGAAGAUGAAUGGAUCACCCUUAACUCCAAGGUAACAUCGCAGAGGGAAUGACCAUGAAGCCCGACAAUCUCCUCGGGAUCCUGCUUGUAUCGUAUCCUCUCCUCAAGGACCAUCCAAGGGCUCCACACUUCUUUCUGUGACUAAAGGGACCACUGCAACUCUGGGGAAGAUACGGCCAUUAUCCUGACUUGAUGGAGGAACACCCAGCAUUUGGGAGAUGAAGUCACUGGCCCGAGGCCACCCAGGUGUUUGAACCCACAUCUGCCCACCUCACAGCCCACACUUUUACCCCUGCUGUUGCUGAAGCUCAGGAGAAGUCCGUGGAAGAUUCAUUGAGAACUAGUCUCAUCGCACCCUGCACUUGUCCUGAAGACACUUCUCAUAAUUGGGAGCGCCAGGGUGGCUCAGUCAAUUAAGCGUCAGACUUUGACUCAGGUCAUAAACUCGUGGUUUGUGAGUUCAAGCCCCGUGUUUGUGCUGACAGCUCAGAGCCUGGAGCCUGCUUUCGAUUCUGUGUCUCCCUCUCUCUCUGCCCCUCCCUUGCUCACGCUCUCUGUCUCUCAAAAAUAAAAUCAACAUUAAAAAAUUAAAA